rnacentral:tRNA from 1 species
GGCCGUGUGGCUCAAUGGCAGAGCGUCUGACUACGAUUUGAUCUUUCAAUCAGGAGGUUGCAGGUUCGACCCCUGCCUCGGUCA